UCCCAUUUCUUAAGAAGGUUCCGUGGGAUGGCUAUCUGAAACACAACCGUCCUAGUCCCAAACACACUGAAGAGAAACAACGCAUAUUUGCUGACUCUGUCUUGAUGAGACUAGAGGAGAAAUGAAGAGACGUCCAGCGGUACAAGUGCACUUGAUUAGGGCUUUGCCAUUCAGCUACCUUGUAAUUCGGUUGGAUUCCAGAAACAAAAAAAAUGCGAGUCUGGGAGACCAGCUCAGUUUUGUUGUAAAUUUGUUAGUAGUUCGAUAGAAUUUAUAGUGUGUACUUCUCAGGAAAGGAAUGCUCGCAUGUGUUUUGGAUGUUCAUUCGAUGGUCUGUGUUAGGGGUUGACGCCUAAGCACGGUGCUCUCUUGAGAUACCGUGUUGGUAUUAAUGAAUUGUGAUCGUAUCAUGGUUUAAAUUCA